CGUAGGGCGCGAGCGUUGUCCGGAAUUAUUGGGCGUAAAGAGCUCGUAGGCGGCUUGUCGCGUCGGUUGUGAAAGCCCGGGGCUUAACCCCGGGUCUGCAGUCGAUACGGGCAGGCUAGAGUUCGGUAGGGGAGAUCGGAAUUCCUGGUGUAGCGGUGAAAUGCGCAGAUAUCAGGAGGAACACCGGUGGCGAAGGCGGAUCUCUGGGCCGAUACUGACGCUGAGGAGCGAAAGCGUGGGGAGCGAACAGGACU
rnacentral:rRNA from 1 species